UACAGAGGGUGCGAGCGUUAAUCGGAAUUACUGGGCGUAAAGCGUGCGCAGGCGGGCUUUUAAGCCAGACGUGAAAUCCCCGGGCUUAACCUGGGAAUGGCGUUUGGGACUGGGAGUCUGGAGUGCGGCAGAGGAGACUGGAAUUCCUGGUGUAGCAGUGAAAUGCGUAGAUAUCAGGAGGAACACCGAUGGCGAAGGCAGGUCUCUGGGCUGACACUGACGCUCAUGCACGAAAGCGUGGGGAGCAAACAGG
rnacentral:rRNA from 1 species